rnacentral:tRNA from 1 species
GCCCGGUUAUAUCAGUCGGUAGAUAGUUUGACUCUUACUCCACUGUUAGGAUAUCAAAAUGUCAUGGGUUCGAGCCCCAUACUGGGCU